rnacentral:rRNA from 1 species
CCUACGGGAGGCUGCAGUGGGGAAUAUUGCGCAAUGGGCGAAAGCCUGACGCAGCGACGCCGCGUGGGUGAUGAAGGCCUUCGGGUUGUAAAGCCCUGUCGGGUGGAACGAACGAUCUGGCGGCGAAUAACCGCCGGGUGUGACGGUACCACCGAAGGAAGCCCCGGCUAACUACGUGCCCGCAGCCGCGGUAAGACGUAGGGGGCGAGCGUUGUUCGGAUUUGCUGGGGGGAAAACGCGCGUAGGCGGCGAAAUCCCUCGGAUGAACCGAGGUGCCGAAUCCGAUACUGUCUGUGUCGAGUCUAGGAGAGGAAAGCGGAAUUCCCAGUGUAGCGGUGAAAUGCGUAGAUAUUGGGAGGAACACCGGUGGCGAAGGCGGCUUUCCGGACUAGUACUGACGCUGAGGCGCGAAAGCUAGGGGAGCGAACGGGAUUAGAUACCCCUGUAGUC